CUUUAAUCAAAUUCAAAAGAAACCUCAAAGAAAUUAUAAAAGAAACAUUAAGAAAUCUUUAAAAAAUUAAAAAAUAAUCCAUAAUAAAUCUUAAAAGAAUCCUUAAGAAGUUCUAAAAAGUAUUAAAAUAAUCACAAUAUAUUUUAAAUAAAGCUCAAUUAAGUUUUAAUUUAAUCCUAGUUGAAAUUCUAAUAGACUUCAAUCAAAUCCUAUACAAAUCGCAAACCCUAAAUCAAAUCCUAGACAAAUUAUAAAUUCAAAAUCAAACCUUAAAUGAAUCCUAAAUCAUAAAUCCAAUCCUAAUCAAAUCGUAACCAAAUCCUAAACCUUAAACCAAAUCCUAGACAAAUCUUAAAUCUUAAACCAAAUUUUAAUCAAAUCCUUAACUCUAAAUCAAAUCCUUAACUCUAAAUCAAAUCCUAAACAAAUCCUAAAUACUAAAUUUUAAAUCAAAUCCAUACACUAAACUCUAAAUCAAAUCCUAAUCAAAUCCAAAAUCCAAAAUUAAAUCCUAACUAGAUUAUAAAUCUUAAAUAAAAUCUUAGUCAAACCCUAA
rnacentral:lncRNA from 1 species